UACGGAGGAUCCAAGCGUUAUCCGGAUUCACUGGGUUUAAAGGGUGCGUAGGUGGAAUGACAAGUCAGUGGUGAAAACCUGCAGCUUAACUGUAGAACUGCCAUUGAUACUGUUAUUCUUGAGUACAUUUGAUGUGAGUGGAAUGUGUCGUGUAGCGGUGAAAUGCUUAGAUAUGACACAGAACACCAAUUGCGAAGGCAGCUCACAAAACUGUAACUGACACUGAGGCACGAAAGCGUGGGGAGCAAACAGG
rnacentral:rRNA from 1 species